rnacentral:tRNA from 1 species
GAGGGUAUAGCUCGAGGGGUAAAGCUCAUGCUUAGCAUGCAUGAGGUCCUGGGUUCAAUCCUCAGUAUCUCCA